rnacentral:tRNA from 1 species
UUGAUAGAAGCCAAAAUAGAGGCUAAUCACUGUUAAUGAUUUAAUUGAGUAUUAUUCCUCCUAUCAAG